rnacentral:rRNA from 2 species
UACGUAGGGUGCGAGCGUUAAUCGGAAUUACUGGGCGUAAAGCGUGCGCAGGCGGUUUCGUAAGACAGAGGUGAAAUCCCCGGGCUCAACCUGGGAAUGGCCUUUGUGACUGCGAGGCUAGAGUGUGACAGAGGGGGGUAGAAUUCCACGUGUAGCAGUGAAAUGCGUAGAGAUGUGGAGGAAUACCGAUGGCGAAGGCAGCCCCCUGGGUUACUACUGACGCUCAUGCACGAAAGCGUGGGGAGCAAACAGG